rnacentral:rRNA from 1 species
GACGAACGCUGGCGGCGUGCCUAAUACAUGCAAGUCGAGCGCAGGAAACUGACGGAACUCUUCGGAGGGAAGGCAGCGGAAUGAGCGGCGGACGGGUGAGUAACACGUAAGGAACCUGCCUCAAGGAUUGGGAUAACUCCGAGAAAUCGGAGCUAAUACCGGAUAGUUCAACGGACCGCAUGGUCCGCUGAUGAAAGGCGCUCCGGCGUCACCUUGAGAUGGCCUUGCGGUGCAUUAGCUAGUUGGUGGGGUAACGGCCCACCAAGGCGACGAUGCAUAGCCGACGUGAGAGGGUGAUCGACCACACUGGGAGUGAGGCACGGCCCAGACUCCUACGGGAGGCAGCAGUAGGGAAUCUUCCACAAUGGACGAAAGUCUGAUGGAGCAACGCCGCGUGAGUGAUGAAGGUUUUCGGAUCGUAAAACUCUGUUGUAAGGGAAGAACACGUACGAGAGGGAAUGCUCGUACCUUGACGGUACCUUACGAGAAAGCCACGGCUAACUACGUGCCAGCCGCCGCCGUAA